CCCCAGCAUUAGGAACCUUAUUGAGAGACCCCUCAACAAAGGAGAGGAUCUGCUUUCUGGCAGGGACAUCAGUAAUCGUGGAACUGGUCCCUCAAUUCCAUCUCCUUCACUCUACCUGUGAACCUCUUGAACAUUAUAACUACCUCCUUUAUGCCUUCCCAGUCCAUUCUUGAAGAUAAACUCAUUUGGAAUCAUUCCCAGGAUG
rnacentral:lncRNA from 1 species